AACCGCACAGCGGCGUUGCGGGAGGCGAAGGGCGUCGACCGACCUCGCGCGCUGCACAUCUCGGGUUGAGGUUAAAGGAUAGGGCGACAUCUGGAAACCUUCCUCGAGUCCCCACACCCCUGCAAGCGGCGCCUCCCUCCCUGUCCCCGGACAUGUUCGCUCCAGCGCUGGGCGCACACUGUACUGAAUGAUCUCGCCCCAUCUGUCCCCUCCACCAGUCUGAGGUCAGCGCCUGGCGGGGUCAGAUCCACCUGCCCUGCCUGAAAAACUCCUAAAACUAAUCAAAGAUGAAUCUGCCAGGCGCGGUGGCUCACGCCUGUAUUCCCAACAUUUGGAGAGGCCAAGGAAGGUGGAUCACGAGGUCAGGAGUUCGAGAUCAGCCGGGCCAACAUGGUGAAAUCCCAUCUCUACUAAAAAUACAAAAAUUAGCUGGGCAUGGUGGCGAGCACUUGUAAUCCCACCUACCAGGGAGGUUGAGGCAGGACAAUCGCUUGAACCCAGGAAGCAGAGGUUGCAGUGAGCCGAGAUUGUGCCAUUGCACUCCAGCCUGGGCGACAGACUCCAUCUCAAAAAAAAAAAAAAAAAAAAAAAAAAAGAUAAAUCUGAGAAAGAGUUGGCCAAAAUGUGUCAUUCCUAUUGACUAAAGUGGGUGAUCAACUGGCUCCUCCUCCUGUAAUCACCCAAGCUGGAAGCCCAGGAGUUAUUGUCAUUCAUUUGUCCAAUAAAUAUUUAUGAUGUGUUAGACAUGGUGCUGAGUGCUGAGGAUA
rnacentral:lncRNA from 1 species